rnacentral:rRNA from 1 species
CUAGCGGCGGAUGGGUGAGUAACGCGUGGGUAACCUGCCCUUAAGUCUGGGAUACCAUUUGGAAACAGAUGCUAAUACCAGAUAAAAGCUACUUUCGCAUGAAAGAAGUUUAAAAGGCGGCGUAAGCUGUCGCUAUGGGAUGGCCCCGCGGUGCAUUAGCUAGUUGGUAAGGUAAAGGCUUACCAAGGCGAUGAUGCAUAGCCGAGUUGAGAGACUGAUCGGCCACAUUGGGACUGAGACACGGCCCAAACUCCUACGGGAGGCAGCAGUAGGGAAUCUUCCACAAUGGACGCAAGUCUGAUGGAGCAACGCCGCGUGAGUGAAGAAGGUUUUCGGAUCGUAAAGCUCUGUUGUUGGUGAAGAAGGAUAGAGGUAGUAACUGGCCUUUAUUUGACGGUAAUCAACCAGAAAGUCACGGCUAACUACGUGCCAGCAGCCGCGGUAAUACGUAGGUGGCAAGCGUUGUCCGGAUUUAUUGGGCGUAAAGCGAGCGCAGGCGGAAGAAUAAGUCUGAUGUGAAAGCCCUCGGCUUAACCGAGGAACUGCAUCGGAAACUGUUUUUCUUGAGUGCAGAAGAGGAGAGUGGAACUCCAUGUGUAGCGGUGGAAUGCGUAGAUAUGGAAGAACACCAGUGGCGAAGGCGGCUCUCUGGUCUGCAACUGACGCUGAGGCUCGAAAGCAUGGGUAGCGAACAGGAUUAGAUACCCUGGUAGUCCAUGCCGUAAACGAUGAGUGCUAAGUGUUGGGAGGUUUCCGCCUCUCAGUGCUGCAGCU